UGUAACAGUCAGCAGAUGCGGUGUGCCCUGGAAGGCAUUUCAUCAUAUGCUGGGAAAACGUUCGAGGAAGAUUCAAAGGACGUGGUGAACUCUGUAUGCAAUUGUUCUUUAUCUCGCAGUAGAGAAUCCCCAAACUCUCAGAUCCAGCGAGAGGUCUGUGGUAGCCACACAGGCUUUUAUAGACUCCUGUUUCUGCCACGUUUACUCCCCAGAAGGUCUGCAUUUAAAUUAUUGAAGAAAAUGCAGACUUUCUGUGUCUGCUCCUUGUUCCAGCACAUGACGUUGCCUGGAUAUCAGCUUAUCAACAGACCGAAUUUUUACCGCCCCCAUCACAUGAAGAAAGAGAGCUUGUAAGAAGACUACAUUGGAGUACCAGCUUUUAAGUUUAUAAUACAGGGAUAAAGAAUGGGAGAAAAAUGGAAAAGACAACAAAAACUUUGGAAUGUUCCACGGAUUCCUUGCAUUCGAGUCCCUUCCUCUGCCUCUGAGACCUCUUUACUGAAGGACCUAACCCAAGGUCAGCAACGCUACUUUUACAGCAUCAUGAGGAUUUAUAAUUCCAGGCCCCAGUGGCAAGCCCUGCAGAACCGCUAUAUUCACAGCCUUCAGCACCAGCAGCUUCUUGGCUACAUUACUCAACAGGAAGCUUUGGCUUGUGCUGCUGUACUUAGAGAUUCAACCAAGAGAGCCUCAGCUAAGGUAGCUCCCCAAAGAUCCAUCCCCCGGAAGCCUUCAGCCAUGACCAGAACAUGGCCGUCAGCACUACCUGUGCCUGUGGUUCAAUGCAGGGCUCAAAGUGCAGGGCUUGGAUCCCUCAGGAACUGAGAUUUUGCACAAGCUCUGAAACAGGUGCGUUGCCCACGUACCCCGAUAUCUAGUGGGUGCUCAGUACAUAUUUGUUGAAUGAGAAUGGAAGAAAAGUAACUUCUAACACAAACCCCAUACCUAGAAAUAAUCUCUCUCCCACUCACAUAAAUUUUACCAGCAAGAACAAGUUGAAGGUUUUAAGAGCAGUGGAGCUAAACAUAAACAAGCCUUUUACUCCUCAGAAUCUGUAGAGUGAAAUGACUUUUGAAGCUUUCCAAAUAAAAGCUUCCUUUGAAUUAGAGCCUUCCAGAGAAGGUGAAAAGGAAAAGUCAUCAGAGGGCACCAGGUGCUGUCACUGAAUGACUGUUGAAGCCACCCACUGCAGAUUCUGAAAAUACACAAAGCAGUACUGAGGUAACACUGAGCACACAGGGUUUCCAGAACCGAAUCAUUUCAGCAGAAACUGGGCUGUGCAUUUCCAUAUCCCCCUUCCUCUCUUCUUUCCCAUCAAGCAGUAACCUUUAAUUUGGCCCCCAAUCUUCUGGUUCUUGUCUGACUCAAUCCCUUUGUGUCAUCCUGAAGCUUCGAUUUAUCGACUUGCCACAGCUGGGUUCAUCUACAGAGCUGUAGUUGACCUUGACAGAAGCAAGAGAAUUCGUACACACAUCUUCUCCUGGCAGCUGAAGAAACACUCUCGGCAGAGUGAGAAAGAGCCCCUAAAGAACUAGUUUCAAAUCUAACCUUUCUGUGGCCUCACUAGUUUUAAGCAAGCACCCAAGACCAGAUGAAUAAGCAAAAAAAAAAAGAGAGAGAGAGAGAUAACAAUGAAUCAAAACAACAUACAGUGUUCUGGUAUUAUAUUAGUUAUAUUUAAUUGUUAUUUUUAUCACUAGUGAUUUUUUUUCGUGUAGAAAGUUAGACACCCGUGCUCACAUAAAGCCAAAAAUUUAAUAAUGCCUUUUCUUCAUCUUUAUUCUAAAUGUUCAACCCCUUCCCUCAUUUAAACCAGCCAAUGACUUUGUCAUGCCUGUAAAAGGAGUUGCUUGAGAUGGAAUUCUAGACUUGUUUGACAAGGGAAGUGUUGACAUUGAUCUGGGAGGAAGAUGCUGUACCAUUACCAGAAAGAAGGAAUCUCACUGAUGAUGAUGAUUAUCUUCUCUCUGCAACUAUUCAUAAAGAAUAAAGAAGUUUCUUGACCUCUGCAAAUCCUGGCCCUGACUUCUGUGCUCUAUGUGGCUUUUCAGUUCUAAGUUAAGAAUCAUUAGACAGGCUUAAAAGAAGGAAAAAAAAUUAAAUGGAACUACAAUGAGCUAUAGAGUAGCUCUCUUAAGGGACUGAAGUACGUGGUAGAUUUAACUUGCCCUAUACUAGCUUUCCCAUUGCUACCAAAAGGGGCCUUUUAUCCCUAUGAACUUCUUGCAUACACUUUAAAAUUGAAGUACAGUUAACAUACAAGGUUACAUUAGUUUCAGGUGUACAACAUAGUGAUUCAACAACUCUAAGUGUUAUGUUAUGCAUGUACUUUUAUCUUAGACUUUUUUUUUUUUUUGACGGGCAUGAAUAUUUGCUGUGUAACCCUUCGCUAGUGAUGCAGAAUAUUAAGGAGGCCACUUAGGAUUCUGAGCUGCAUCCCUGCAUCAAAAAAUCUCAGAAGCACCUUGUUUUCAAUAGAGGCUUCUAAUUGGGCAGCAAAGACUUGGAGGAGGUGAGAAAGAAGAAAAAGAGGCAACCCCCAGAGGAAGAACCAUCCUUGGCUCAAGCUGUUUAAGCACACAAAACUGGGUUCAGUGUGUCCUCAGUACCUUCUCCCUUUUCCUCAUUUAAUUUGUUCUUCAGGUUCAGCAACCAACACUCUACAACCACUAUGAUCUUUAUGCACUGUAUUAGUUAUUACUGCAUAAAACAAUCACCCUAAAUCACAGUGAAUUAAAACAACAAGAUUUACUUUC